ensembl:lncRNA
GAAACGGAGAGCUAACCUCUGACUGAGUGCCCGUUUACUCAGUCUGACCACCUGUUGAAGGGCUGUUUGAUGACGAUUUGGACUCCUCUGGGUGAUGAGGACACACCCACAUCUGUUCCAUACUGCAGCCAUGGAUGGUGUUACAGCUCUGAGUCCGCUUUGGGCCAUCAGAUGCACACACUGGAAAACCAGCGCCUGUACUUCAUGCAGGAGAGAUGACCUCAGUGAUAAUUCAUCAGCAGCUGUGAAGAGAUGUAUUUGAAUAUCUUCUGGUUCCACUUUUCUUAACCUGGAAGCUGAGGAUGGCUAAUUCCUGACAAGGACACACACCUCAGCGCUUAUCAUGGGUGUUACAUCCUCUGCGCAGCAAUUCCAGAGAAAACGAGAGAGCAACGACCACACAUUAAGACCAGACAGAAAUCUGUCCCUUUCUGGCAGCUGUGGAAACUUCCAAUAAGAAAGUUUGCAUUCUUAGAACAAUGCUGGGUCAUGUGUGAUGUGUCAUUAUAUGAGGAUAUUACAUUUUAACUUAAUUCUGCUCAAUUAAGUGUUUUGUUCGUUGAUCCAAUAUGGCAGCUUUUAUUGUGCUCCAAGUUAAAACUCAUUGUCCUCAUGAGCACAGCAUCUAACAACUCUCCUUAAAAAGUCGAUUGACUUUAACUGGACACAAUGGUUUCCAGUGGAGAUACAUUCAUCACUCAUCCGUGACACUGGAGAAGUCACCUGAGUGAGUGAUAAAGCAAUUUUCCAUGGAAAAUCCAGAGGAACUAAACUUUGUUGUU